rnacentral:SRP_RNA from 1 species
GCCUGAUGUGGGGGCACACACUUAUAAUCCUGCUAGUAGAGAGGCUAAGGCUUGUGAAUUUCUUGAGCUUGAGUUCUAAGCUGCAGUGGGCUAAGCUGAUUGGGCAUCUCACACUAUGUCUGGUACCAUUAUAGUGAGCCCUUAGGUGCAGAGGCCACCCGGCUGCCUAAGGAGGGACAAACCAGCCCAGGUCAGAAACAGAACAAGUCAAAGCUUUUGUGCCAGUUAGUAGUGGGACUAGGCAUGGUAGUGGCCAAUGUACUUCCAGCCUGGGCAAGGUAGGGGAAAGAAA